CGCCUUGCCAGCCCGCUCAGAACUUAAAGGAAGUUGACGGGGCCGCACAAGCGGAGGAGCAUGUGGUUAAUUCGAUGAUACGCGAGGAACCUUACCUGGGCUCGAACGUAAGAUGACUGUAGGUGAAAGCUUACAUCUCUUCGGAGCAUUUUACGAGGUGCUGCAUGGUUGUCGUCAGCUCGUGCCGUGAGGUGUCGGGUUAAGUCCCAUAACGAGCGCAACCCCUACCUUUAGUUGCCAUCAGGUUAAGCUGGGGACUCUAAAGGAACUGCCUACGCAAGUAGUGAGGAAGGCGGGGAUGACGUCAAAUCAGCACGGCCCUUACGUCCAGGGCUACACACGUGCUACAAUGGCCGAUACAGAGGGCAGCUACCUGGUGACAGGAUGCAAAUCUCCAAAGUCGGUCUCAGUUCGGAUCGGAGUCUGCAACCCGACUCCGUGAAGUUGGAUUCGCUAGUAAUCGCGCAUCAGCCAUGGCGCGGUGAAUACGUUCCCGGGCCUU
rnacentral:rRNA from 1 species